rnacentral:rRNA from 1 species
UCUGGCGGCGUGCUUAACACAUGCAAGUCGAGCGAAGCAAUUUAAGUGAAGUUUUCGGAUGGAUCUUAGAUUGACUGAGCGGCGGACGGGUGAGUAACGCGUGGAUAACCUGCCUCACACAGGGGGAUAACAGUUAGAAAUGACUGCUAAUACCGCAUAAGCGCACAGUACCGCAUGGUAUAGUGUGAAAAACUCCGGUGGUGUGAGAUGGAUCCGCGUCUGAUUAGGUAGUUGGUGAGGUAACGGCCCACCAAAGCCGACGAUCAGUUAGCCGACCUGAGAGGGUGACCGGCCACAUUUGGGACUGAGACACGGCCCAAACUCCUACGGGAGGCAGCAGUGGGGGAUAUUGCACAAUGGGCGAAAGCCUGAUGCAGCAACGCCGCGUGAGUGAAGAAGUAUCUCGGUAUGUAAAGCUCUUAUCAGCAGGGAAGAAAAUGACGGUACCUGACUAAGAAGCCCCGGCUAACUACGUGCCAGCAGCCGCGGUAAUACGUAGGGGGCAAGCGUUAUCCGGAUUUACUGGGUGUAAAGGGAGCGCAGACGGCACUGCAAGUCUGUAGUGAAAGCCCGGGGCUCAACCCCGGGACUGCUUUGGAAACUGUAGAGCUAGAGUGCUGGAGAGGCAAGCGGAAUUCCUAGUGUAGCGGUGAAAUGCGUAGAUAUUAGGAAGAACACCAGUGGCGAAGGCGGCUUGCUGGACAGUAACUGACGUUCAGGCUCGAAAGCGUGGGGAGCAAACAGGAUUAGAUACCCUGGUAGUCCACGCUG